AUAAGGUNCGUAGGUGACCUGCGGAGGAUCAUU
rnacentral:rRNA from 1 species